rnacentral:rRNA from 1 species
AUUGAACGCUGGCGGCAUGCCUUACACAUGCAAGUCGAACGGCAGCACGGGUGCUUGCACCUGGUGGCGAGUGGCGAACGGGUGAGUAAUAUAUCGGAACGUACCUUAUUGUGGGGGAUAACGCAGCGAAAGCUGUGCUAAUACCGCAUAAUCCCUAAGGGGGAAAGCGGGGGACCGUAAGGCCUCGCGCAAUUAGAGCGGCCGAUACCUGAUUAGCUAGUUGGUGAGGUAAAGGCUCACCAAGGCAACGAUCAGUAGCUGGUCUGAGAGGACGAUCAGCCACACUGGGACUGAGACACGGCCCAGACUCCUACGGGAGGCAGCAGUGGGGAAUUUUGGACAAUGGGGGCAACCCUGAUCCAGCAAUGCCGCGUGAGUGAAGAAGGCCUUCGGGUUGUAAAGCUCUUUUGUCAGGGAAGAAACAGCAGCUCUAACACAGUUUGCGAAUGACGGUACCUGAAGAAUAAGCACCGGCUAACUACGUGCCAGCCGCCGCGGUAACAC